rnacentral:rRNA from 1 species
UUUGAUGGAUGGCGACCGGCGCACGGGUGAGUAACACGUAUCCAACCUGCCGACAACACUGGGAUAGCCUUUCGAAAGAAAGAUUAAUACCGGAUGGCAUAGUUUUCCCGCAUGGGAUAAUUAUUAAAGAAUUUCGGUUGUCGAUGGGGAUGCGUUCCAUUAGGCAGUUGGCGGGGUAACGGCCCACCAAACCAACGAUGGAUAGGGGUUCUGAGAGGAAGGUCCCCCACAUUGGAACUGAGACACGGUCCAA